rnacentral:misc_RNA from 1 species
GGAAGUAAAGUCGUAACAAGGUUUCCGUAGGUGAACCUGCGGAAGGAUCAUUAUCGUACCAAAUGUGUCCGGCAUGCUUGGGCUGUUGCUGACUCAAAAAGUCGUGCACGCUGGAGGGUGUCCUCUCACAUAAUAAUCCAUCUCACCCUUUGUGCAUCACCGCGUGGGCACCCUUUGGGAUCGGACCGAUCUCGGAAGGGGGCCCGCGUUUUCACACAAACCCCCCCAUCUAAAAGUGUAGAAUGUCCUCAUUUAUGCAAUAAAUACAACUUUCAACAACGGAUCUCUCGGCUCUC